rnacentral:rRNA from 1 species
GACGAACGCUGGCGGCGUGCUUAACACAUGCAAGUCGAGCGGUAAGGCCCUUUCGGGGGUACACGAGCGGCGAACGGGUGAGUAACACGUGGGUGACCUGCCCUCAGCUCUGGGAUAAGCCUGGGAAACCGGGUCUAAUACUGGAUAUGACUCCAUGACGCUAUGUUGUGGGGUGGAAAGCCUUGUGCGGCUGAGGAUGGG